rnacentral:rRNA from 1 species
UGAGGAAUAUUGGUCAAUGGGCGCGAGCCUGAACCAGCCAAGUCGCGUGAGGGAAGACGGUCCUAUGGAUUGUAAACCUCUUUUGUCGGGGAGCAAGAGCGGCCACGUGUGGCCGCGUUGAGAGUACCCGAAGAAAAAGCAUCGGCUAACUCCGUGCCAGCAGCCGCGGUAAUACGGAGGAUGCGAGCGUUAUCCGGAUUUAUUGGGUUUAAAGGGUGCGUAGGCGGGCUGUUAAGUCAGCGGUAAAAUCGAGAGGCUCAACCUCUUUCAGCCGUUGAAACUGGCGGUCUUGAGUGAAUGAGAAGUAUGCGGAAUGCGUGGUGUAGCGGUGAAAUGCAUAGAUAUCACGCAGAACUCCGAUUGCGAAGGCAGCAUACCGGCAUUCAACUGACGCUGAAGCACGAAAGCGUGGGGAUCAAACAGG